AUAAAUGUUUUGAAAUUUUCCCCUUUCCAGGUCUCCACUUCGGAAACCACCUAUUCUAUCCUCCGCUCCCCUGUCUCUAUGAGGGUGCUCCCCCACCCACCCACUCCAGUCUAACCGCCCUGGCAGCAUCAAACCCUCUUAGGACCAAGGGUCUCUCCACUCACUGCUGUCCAACAAGGCCAUCCUCUGCUACAUAUGCAGCCAGCACCAUGGGUCCCUCCAUGUGUACUCUUUGGUUGGUGGUCCAGUCUCUGAGAGUUCCUGGCUGUCUGGCCUGUUGACACUGUUGCUCCCUCCAUGGGGCUGCAAACCCCCUCAGCUUCUUCAGUCUCUUCUUCAACUCCUCCAUCUGGGACCCCAAGCUCAGUCCAAUGGUUGGCUGUGAGCAUCCACAUCUGUAUUUGUCAGGAGACAGCCAUAUCAGGCUUUCUUCGUAGGACUUGCCUGUGUCACCUCUGCCGAAUAGAUUCCACAAGAUUCUUCACUGAAAUUACUUGAUUUACAUAUACCUCAGCAUGCUUUGGUGAUUUAUUUAUCAAUAGACACCUGAGUGUUUCCUAACUAUAAGAAAACGGACAAUUUCAGAAAACUGCAACUAGUCAAAAUGCAGAGAACAACUGAAUGUAGGGUGCCCAACCACCUCUGCAGUUCAUGGAGCAUUACAGAAGGAUGGAAAGAUUUAAAGAACCAGAGAACCAGUAAGUUGACUUAUAAGAUUGUAUCUACUGGAAGUGAUAUGGAAGCUACACCAUGAGUCCUCAAAAAUAUGGCUGCCGAAAGGACCUGAAUAGUGGCCACACCAAUAGUCAUGCUUACUUUGAUGGAGGAAAUCUCAUGGGACCCCACCCCUAGACAAAGAGCUAUAGCCAACAACUACAGGUAAUAACUGCUGGAAAGGGAGAAUUCAUCUCCCCCUAGGGAUGAGCCCUUAAAUUGGUUAUCUACAAAUUAUCAACACUGGAAAAUCUCUCUCUCUCUCUCUCUCACACACACACACACACACACACACACACACACACACACAGAGAGAGAGAGAGAGAGAGAGAGAGAGAGACAUAACACUAAAUGGAUUCAGAAGAUUGUCUUUAUAUAUUUAUAUAGACAUACAUAUUUCUGUAUAUGAAAGAAUAAUUAAAGAAAAAGAUGGAUUUGAGAGAGAGAGAAUUAGGGCAGAUAUGAGAGAUCUAGAAUGAGGAGAAGGAAGUGAUGUAAUUAUAUUAGAUUUUUAGAAAGUUAUAGAAAAGAUAAAAGCAUGAUAGACAUGAAGUACAUUUCAUGACUUUAACUCCUGCAUUGCUUUCUGGUCUUUCAGAGAUGAUUCUAUCCUGGAGUUAAAUAGUCCUUUUUUAUAUGCCUAUGCCUUUAAUACUUGUAUAGUUAUUGAUGUCUAUAAACAUGAAAUUUUUUGUAUGCUCUUGAGCUUUACAUAAAAGAAACUAAGCAGGAAAAUGGAACAGAAUUCAGAACAAUAUAUUUUAAGCAGUUUCCAUUAUUAACCUGCUUCUUUUCCUUCUUUCCAUACCUCCCAGCUCCCUUCCUUCCUCUCUUUUCCUCUGUCCAUCCAUACCUUUUCUCCGAUUCUCAAUUUCUUGCUGCCUUACUUUUCCUUAGUGAUGUGCAAAUAGUUAUCUGAUUGUUUACCUGUUUUCUUUAUUUGUAACCUCUUACCUAAAAUAUCUCUUGUGCCAGUGGAAUACUUCUGUGCCAAAUCCUUGUACUUAAGAACAAAUCACUUUUGCAUAUGCUGAAAAUGCAACUGUCUCUCAAGAGCAUGUUGGAUCAGGAAAGCCUUCUUUUCCACAUUCUACUUCUUUUGCUGCUGUACCAGCAAUGGUGAAGAAAGAGGCAAUAUUUGACCUUCCAACGGGACAGAUUGGGAACAAUAGAGGCAAAUGGAUGGAACUCGUGAAUAUCAUCAUGAGCGAGGUAGCCCAGGCCCAAAAGGACAUGCAUGAUAGGAGUCAAGCAUGGCUGUCCUCUGAGAGCCUCCACCCAGCAGCUGACUCAGACGGAUGCAGAGACCCAGAGCCAGAGUAUGGAGCUUGGGUCUGCUUAUGGAAGAAUAGAAGAAGGACUGUAGACCUGAAGUGGAAUUGUUGAUUUCAAAGAUGGGGGUGAGGGUCUCAUGAAGACCUGCCAUGCAGACCAUCUAAGCCACCUCCUCAUCAACCUUGCUUCAAUUUAACGAGCAUCAAUCGAGCCAAGCUAUCAGCUAUCAAUAGCUUUUCUUUGAGGAGCAAGUCCUGAGGAGCACCCUCCUCUGAGUUUGCACAGUAUUGUGAAGUGUCAGCAGUCAAUGAAGAGAUGGGUGAUUGGUCAAAGUACUAAACGUAAGAGACCACGUGCUCUGCGGUGGUAAGAUGCAUUUUGGGUUCCUGCCCCAGCUUCCCAGGAUGAUAGACUGCAAGCUACAGAAAGAAGUAAAUCCUUUCUUCCAGAAGAUGGACACUUUGGUCAUGGUGAUGUAUCACAGGAGUGCAGAGCCUAGAUUACAGAGCUGAGGACCGAACCCAGGGCCUUGCACUUGCUAGGCAAGCGCUCUACCACUGAGCUAAAUCCCCAAUCGCAGUCCACACAGAAGUGUAAUCCUCAUGCCUCAUCGAUUUUCUUUCUCUUGGCUAAAGACAGAGAUGAUUAGAGCAAGCAACAAGCCAUCGAAUUGCAGAGUAGCAGAACCCAGCACAAUGGAUCCAUCUAAAAAACAGCUGCAUCUAAGGCUCAGGGAAUAUUUUGGAAGAGGGGGCAGAAACAGUCUAAGAACUAGAGGAUCAGGGAACAAGAUGCGAGGCUGUGUCUCCUAAGAAUGCCACAAGCUACUGACAAAGUCUUGGCAACACGACUGCCCAAACACACGCUGAACAAGGACUAUAAUAGACAUGCCAAAUAGGGCAGGGGAAAACCCAUAAGGCCUCAACCUUACAUCCACAGAGCAAGGGGGAACUAAGGAAUGCUGGGAGCUAGAGAAAUAGGCUUCCCCAGGGAGGAGCACAGCAGUUGGUCAUCGCCUGCCAAAGGCCAGGCCUGGAACCCUGUGUCCAGGUCACAUCCUAAAUCCUGAGCUGGUUAGAUUUAGAAAUAUGUGUACAUACACGCAAAUACAUGUGUGCAGGAAAUAGCAAUUGAUGAAGAAAGGAGUUAGUUAUUUGAAAGAGCAAGGAAGGAUAUAAGUGAGUCUUUGGGAAGAAAAGGAAAUAGAGAACAGAUGUAAUUAUGAUCACAGAAAAGAAGAGAAAUCCUUUAGUUGCCUGCUGAAUUUAGUACGACUCCAUAUGGCUGUUGGCUAUGUCCUAAGUUUUGGCGGACCCUUUUCCACAACCCCACCACCCCGAGCGCCACCCCUCUUUAAGGCUUUCUAUGCCAGGUUUCCUCCCACCUCCAUGUUCACAUCCAGUGCACUCUGCUGUCCCUGCCCCUAGAUCUCCUCUCUGGGCUCCUCACAUGCUCCGUGAUGUCUACAGACACUGACUCCUAUUCCAACAGAGACCUGUAAAACAUUGGAGCUGGAGUCCACAUGUGAGGGAACACAGGUGGCUUCUGUGGCUGCUUUGACAAAGAUGUGAAAAAGGACCACUGGAGAGGAGGCCGCCAUCCUCACUGACAAAUAGUCCUGGGUAGAGCUGGAUAGACACCCUUAGAAGGCUAAAACCAGAUCCCUAACUUUAGACUGGAGAAAAAUCAGUUCUAACUGGAUGUAAGAUCUGAAAUUCGUAGGCUCUCAGAGUAAAAUGCAGGGAUUUUUCCUCAAGAGAAGGGGGUAGCCAUGAACUUUCUCCUAAGGUUUAACAGCUCCGGAAAUGGUCUCCAUAUUUGGCAGGUGGGAUUCUGAGAAGUCAAAAACAUUCCUCACAGUAAAAGUGAAUAAAUUGCCAGAGUGAAGAAACAGAAUGCAGAUUGGGUGAAAAAAAAAA